CGGGGCUUGAGAUGCUGCUGCUUCUUCUGUUAGGAACUGUGCGUUACUUGCAGCCACUACUGCAGGCACCAGCUAAACCACUUCUGUUCCAGGAACUUCAUCUUUUUACCAUCGCUUCUGCAAAAGCCAGUUGCUGCUUCUUUAUUUCCAUUGGCCUUUGCCAGCAAAAUGAAUACAGGUUGGAUGCUUUUUCCUCCUGUUGCUUCCUUUUGAAUUGAAGACUCAGGUGGAUGAAUUUGAUUGAUGGGACUCAGUUCCUGUAUUUUUGUCCUAACUUCAAAAAGGAUUUGGGGAAGUGAUUUUUCUGAUUUCUACCCUAGAGAGGCAGGACUCAUAAGGUAGGAGCUACUUCAGAGGACUCUAAUGGUGUCCAAAUCUGAUGGACACCCAGGAGAUAUAAUCAGAGUCCAUACCCCAAACACUGUGAGUGCUGGGUGAAGUGUUGGGCUACCAUGAAAAGGCAGUUUGGCUCAUGGGCUGUGUCAGUGCUUCUUAGAGGUCUGGUAAUUCACAGACUCACAAGAGAGGAUAAAAUAAUUUUUUUUCUUUAGUCUAAAGCCAUUAAGUUUGGGGGUGGUUUGCUAAUAGCCAUAGAUAACUGAAAUAAACAGUAUGCUUUUUGUGUAUGUAUCUGGCUUUUCCACUUGAUAUUAUUAUUAUUAUUUUGUUACUGGGGAUUGAACCCAGGGGUGAUUUACCACUGAUCCACAUUCCCAGUCCAUUCUAUUUUUUCAUUUUGAGACAGGGUCUCACUAAGUUGCUGAGGCUGGUCUUGAACUCAAAAUCCUCCUGCCUCAGCCUCCUGAGUUGCUGGGAUUAUAGGCAUGUGCCACUGGUGCUUGGCACUCAAUAUUAUUUCUGACAGAGUCAUCCGUGUUGUAGUAUUAUCAGUUGUUCAUUAAUUUUUAAUUGCUUAUGUAGUAUUCUGUUGUAUGAAUAAGCAACAUUUUAUUUAUCCAUUUUAUUGUUGAUGAACUAUUUUGUGAAACCAUUUCAGGGUAAUUUAUGGACAGUAUGACAUUUCACCCCUAAAUGUUUUGUCAUGUACAUUUUAAGAACGUGGACAUUUCUCCUGCAUAAUCACAAUACCAUCAUCAGAUAAACUUGAUACAAUAUUACCAAACACAUAGUCCUAUUAAAAUUGUCCCUAUUGCACCAGUAAUGCCCCAUAGAAAAUGUUUGCUUUUGGCCUCAUUUAUUAGACAGCAGCAGAUAAUACCAGAGUCUCCUUCGCUAGUGGGAUAUUCAUGGAGGGGUUUGGUGAUUCAUGGUCCUCAGACUUCUCUGGAUCUGCUCCUGUGUUCUCAGUUCAUAUCUCAGGAUCUAGACCCAACUCAGCAGUGGCUGUACCUUAGCAUCAGGGCCCCUGUGGAGUUUCGCAGCCAACAAUAGACCCUGGGCUGGCCCUCGUCCUUGUCUGUGCUGCAUUGAGGAUAAAAAUAUUCCCUUAAGAUGGCCACAGAAACUUCUAAACUUUUCAUUCAUGUCUCAAGUUGGAUUAAAAGCUUUCAAUUUAUUCUUUCUCCUCUCUGUGCUCUCUAGGGCAGUCAGAAGCAGCCAGCCUAUGAUGGUCCGGACAGAAACCUCAACUGAGUCACCCAGAGUUUGUCUGGUACCAUUCUAUCUUGUCACAGGUCUCCUUGGAUGGGAGGCCAAUCUGAAACUUCACGGAUGACUGUAGCAGUUCACUUAAUCAACACUCCUGCCACAUUUACCUUAAAGUUUCACUUUGUGCCCUUGAUGGCUAAUUUUAUGGGUUGACUUGGCCAGCGUAUGGUACCCAUUUGUUUGCUACCAGUCUAGAUGUCGCUGUGAAGGUAUUUUUUUUUUUAAGAUAAAUUCAGCAUUUAAAUCAGUACAUCUUUGGCAAAGCAGAUUACCCUCCACAAUGUAGGUGGGUCUUCCAAUUAGUUGAAGGCCUUAAGAAAGACUGACAUUCUCCAAGGAACAAGGAACUAAUUCUACCUCCACACUCCAUUCAGGCUUCAGCUGCAACAUCUAUUCCUCCUUGGGUCUUCAGCCUGCCCGGUAGAUUCUGAACUUGCCAGUCUCCAUAGACACAUGAGCCAAUUCCUUAAAAUAAAUCUCUCUAGGGCUGGGGGCAUAGCUUCAUGAGAGAGCACUUGCCUGGCAUGUGCAAGGGCCCGGGUUCGAUACUAAGCAAUGCAAACAAAACCCAAACCAUCUCUCAAUCUAUUCAUUCUAUUGGUUCUGUUUCUCCUGACAAAUACAAGCCAUUUUAUAGAGAAUGGAAUCUCUAUAUUUUAUCUCUGCAUUUUUGAGAGCAUACAUUCUGUAUUACACAUACUAUACAUGGAACUCUGUCAUGUUCCUUGUUGGGUAAAGUUGAAUAUUGUGAGCCAAUUUCCAAUGCUUCUGCGUAAGUCCAGUGAGUGAAAACGUUCUUCUUUUCACAAUAUACAUCCAUAGCCUGCAGACUCAAUAAUUUAAGGAGGACCAAAACAAAUCCAUAUAUUCUAGCUUGUUAUAUAAAAUAAAACAUGUUUUUUACAUUCCAAAAGAUUUAUAAUAAUCUCCCCUGACCCCACAAAUGCACUGUGGAGAGAGGCAAAUGUAGGAAUGAAUAUAAGAAUCAUUCUUUCUUUUCUUUUUUUUUAAAGUAUUUUUUGUUGUAGAUGGACACAAUACCUUUUUUUAUUUACUUAUUAUGUGGUGCUGAGGAUUGAACCCAGUGCCUCACACAUGCUAGACAAACACACUACCACUGAGCUACAACCCCAGCCCUGUAAGAAUCAUUCUUCUUCUUUUUUUAAAAAUAACUUUAUUUUGUGUAUUUAUUUUUUUUAUGUGGUGUUGAGGAUCCAAUCCAGUACCUCACAUAUGUGAGGCAAGCUCUCUACCACUUAGCCAAAAUCCUAGCCUGAAUCAUUCUUAGUUCUUACCUUCCCUUUCUAAAUCUUGAUCUUCAAUUGACUGCUUUGUUUCCUGUUUAUUUAGUUGUAUGGGAAAAAUGGGGGAAUUAGCUAAUAUUUGUCAUGAAAAUAUAAGGAAAAUUGCUCUCAGAACUAUGAUUUUCUUUGAGUUGUUGAUUUCAUUUUAACCUCAGAUGCAAAUGGUGGAAUUAAUUCUAUUCCUCAGUUCAUUGUACAUGGUCAUCAUCAGUCUAUAUAAAAUCUCCUCUGUAUUCAUUAUAAUUUAUUUCAUUUCCUACUUCCAAUUUCUUUCCUCUCACUAAAGACAAUCAUUCUAAUGUGCCUUAUGUAUAUUUCUUUGUUAUAUGUAUUCUUGCAAGAUUUGUAUUGUUUGUGUGUGUGUGUGAUUUUAACUGAGCAGUUUUGUGCUAAAAGCUCAUUCUAUUGUUUUCCUAGCUUUGUGUUUUCUAGAUCCAUCCAUGUCACUAUGGGUGCAUUUAAUGCAGUGCUCUUGGCUUCUUCCUGGUGCUCCAGGGUGGCCAUUCACACCUUUCUCCUGCCUUCUCUCUGGUAGACAUGAGGAUUGUCUCCAUCUCCUGACACCACAAGGUGUUUAAAAUAGCUGCCUUACAGUAGGAGAGGUCUCCUUGUGGACACGUAUAAUAGGAGAUGCGGGCAUGUUCCCAGGAGUGAGGUUAUUGAUCAUAGGGUGUUCAUGCACAUAAUGUGAUCAAGCAUCAGAAAAUUCUCCCCAGAACGGCUGCACCAGUUCAUAUUUUUACUAGCAGUGUGAGGGGCUUCUCUUAGUCCUAUUUCCUCAUCAACAUUUGGCAUCAUCUGGCAAUGUUUUCCAGUCUAAUAGGUACGAGGUUGUCUUUUGGUGCAUUUAUCUCUAGGGGUUGCUAACUUUUUAAUUACUGAUUUCCAGUAGUUCAUUGAAUAUUCUGGAUAUUAUCCCUGGUUUUAUUUAUUUAUUAAUUGCAGUGCUGGGGAUUGAACCCAGGGCCUUGUACAUGAUAGGUAAAUGUGCUACCAGUGAGCCACAUCCCCAAACCCCUGGUUGGUUUUAGAUAAUGCAAAUACUCUUUCUCAUUCUCUUUUUUGUAAGUGCUGUCCCCUUCAUUAAAAUUUUUUUAAAUUUUAAUUUAAUUAGAUAAUAAAAUAUUUCCAAUUAUGGUUUUUGAAGUUUUAUAUUUUUGAAUAAGUUCUUUGCUACUAAUCACGAAGAUAAUUUUUUCCAUUUUAUUCUAUAAAAGUUUCACAUUUCUCUUUUCACUUCAACCUGCCUGUAGUCUGUUAUUGUAUGUGGCAUUACGUCAGGAUCUGGUUUUAUAUUUCUUUAUAUAGUAAACUUUGUUUUGAAUAACAUCUGUUACAAUCCAUAGUUUCUCUAUUAAUUUGUGGUGCCAAGUUAAUGCAUAUUAGAUUUCCAUAAAUCUAUGGGUUUAUCUUUCAGCUAUUUCUAUACCUCUGUUCCCUUGUCAAUUUGUUUUAAAAAUGACUAUUAGAUUUAUAAUAAGUCUUUUUCCCAGUUAGUUCCAUAGAAGGUCUUAGUAUUUCUUUAGAUGAGUCUCUCCUUUAUAUUAUUCUUUUCUGAAGGUUUGCUUAGCUAUUUGAUGAUUUUAUUCUAUCAUAUACUUUUUAUUUUAUUAUUUUAAUUCUAUCAUAUAUUUUUUAAAGUAAAUUUAUAAGUUUCUUCAAAAAGGUCAAGUGGAGUUUCAAAUGAAAUUAAAUUCAAGACUAAUGGGGGGGCAAUUGAUACCUUUAUAAGAUUAUGAUCCUCCCCAAGAACACAAAAUGGCUGUUAUUUAAAAUCAUAUUCAAUAACUUCUUAGGGUUUUAAAUUUUUCUAUAAAUUCUCAAUUAAGUUAAUCACUACAUGCUUUAUAAGUUUUUUGUUUAUGGUGAAUACUUCCUGAUUUUAUUGUAUUUCUUAUUGGUUGUUCUGGUGUAUUGAAAUGCUAUUAAUUUUAUAGCUGAAAAUCUUGAUAAAUUCUUUAAUAAUUUGCUGCUUAUUUUUUUUUUUCAGCCUGCAUUAUAUCUGCCGUGCAGUGAUCUGUGGGUGGACUACAUGUGAUGGAAUUGAUGGUCUCCCUCUAUCAUCGAUGUUACAGGAUUCUUUUUUAAAAUGUUUUUCUAGUUGUUGAUAGACCUUUAUUUUAUUUCUUUACAUGUGGUGCUGAGAACCCAGUGGUGUGCUACCUCUGAGCCCCAGCCCCAGUCCCGGAUUUUUUUUUUUUUUAAGAGAUCAUUAUAAACAAAAAGUUAGAGUUUGCUGGUUAGAAUGAGAACCAGUCAAGGAAAAGUAAACUCUUCUGUCCCUAAAGGGCAUUAACUAGGUCUGUUUUCAUGUGCAUCAGACAGUACAUGUAUAGGAAGCACAGUAUCAGUGUUUGGUUUUUCAUGUGUGUGUAAGCUUAGUUAUUAAUUUUCGUCGGAUGCAGUCAACUGUUACCCAAACAAAUGUGGUGCCUAUUGAAACAACAGGAUAGAGCUGCAGAUGUUUAGUAAGGCUAGGAAAAUAUUUGCCCAUUUAGCCAACUUUGGUUUUUAAUGGCUAUAGUAAUUAAUUGAGGCAACUCUGGGGCAUGUGCUAUGAAAAAUUCUAUUCCUUUUCUUUUUUAAAAAAAUAUUUAUUUUUUUAGUUGUAGUUGUACACAAUAUCUUUAUUUAUUUUUAUGUGGUGCUGAGGAUCGAACCUAGGGCCUCGCACAUGCUAGGUGAGCACUUUGCCGCUGAGCUACAGCCCCAGUCCCAAAAAAUUCUAUUUCUUAUUAAAGAACAACUUAAUAGUAGAUGAGUAUUUCAGCAGUUGACUAAUAUUUGAAAUUAUUUUUUUCUAAGAAUUUUUUAUAACCUUCCCAAAGUAGUGAUGUUUGUAUUUAUAAGCUUUAGAAGACAAUAAUAAAUAAAUAAAUUAAGACUGCCUUCCUUUUAGGAAAAAUUGCAAUUUUCUGGCCAUGAGGUCAUAGUACAGUUCACUUAAAUGUUGACAUCAUUUAUAGUCAGUCUCCUUUUCUCUUAUGCAAAAGGUGCAUAGUAAACCGUAUUUUCUAAAUAGUUGUUCUUAAAAUUUCAGUCUUAUAAAGUUAGUAGUAGAGUUUUAUUUAAAGGCCUUAGUUAUUAUUUUUUUUUUAAAUGAGUGCUUGAACUCAAAGCAGGUAUUUGGAAUAGCUGCCACAAUUGUAGUCUUGUGUGUGAUUUUUUUUAAGUUGACAUGUUCAAUCUAAAGAUUGUUCCAUUAAAGUUUGAUCUUUUCUUAUGCUCAGGAUGAGUUUGUGAACCACAAAGAAAAUGAGACUAGAAAAACAAGUUAGAUAAUAGUAACUACAGUGGUUGCUGGUAUUGAGAUUAUUGUUAAACUAUAGCUAAUAAUUUGGAUGGCAGUAUUUAUCUUUGUUGGAAACUCUCAUAGCUGAAUCACUUAGGUGUAAUUUAAUAGAGUUUUAGUGUAGUUAAUUCUUUUUUUUUUAAAGAGAGAGAGAGAGAGAGAGAGAGAGAGAGAAAGAGAGAGAAUUUUUUAAUAUUUAUUUUUCAGUUUUCGGUGGACACAACAUCUUUAUUUUAUUUUUAUGUGGUGCUGAGGAUCGAACCCAGGGCCCGGUGCAUGCCAGGCGAGCGCUUUAACGCUUGAGCCACAUCCCCAGCCCUGUAGUUAAUUAUUAAUGGGAAUAUCUGAAACCUAAAUUGCAGAUUUAAAAGUUACUGUAUAACCAUUGUUUCUGUAAAUAAUCUUUAGUAUGUAAUACAACUUGAGUGAGCGCUUUGGGAAGUAUUAUCAAGUUCUAGUGGUUACUUCUUAGUAUUGAAGUGAAUUUUCAAUUCUGUCCUAGACAUUUUGCACUACAGUAGCCAAAUCCAUUCUUGUGUCUUUUUGUUAAUGUGCUCUAUGCUGCUGGGGAGUGCUCCUUAGUUUCCUUACCAGCUGCUACAGAAGGUUAUUUUACAUCCCUGUAGCUAUCGCCAAAGCUACAAAAAGGAAAAGCUAUAUUUGCAUGCAACACUAACCCUUUGGUUCUUUUUUUAAAAAAACAUUUAUUUUUUAGUUGUAGGUGGACACAAUACCUUUAUUUUUUAUUUUUAUUUUUAUGUGGUGCUGAGGAUGGAACACAGUGCCUCACACAUACUAGGCAAACGCCUGUACCUCUGAGCCAUAACCCCAGCCCUAACCCUUUGAUUUCUAAUAUAUGUUUCUGCUCUCUGUGCCUUGUUAUGGCUGCUUUUUUGUGCUAAAAAAAUUAUGUUUGGUGUUCUCCUUUUGAGAUAUAUAUAUAUAUAUAUAUAUAUAUAUAUAUAUAUAUAUAUAGAGAGAGAGAGAGAGAGAGAGAGAGAGAUUGAGAGAGAGUGAGUGUGUGUUAUCAAAAUAAAAAUGUUUAUGUUUUCAACUGGUGUUAGAGUCUGUAAACAAGUCUGGAUGGUGCCUGGCUUUUCGCCAGAGGGAGUGGUUUAUGAAGUAACGCCAGCGAGCCAUUAAGUGUGGAGAUUCCUUAUUGGUUGACUGCUGUAUCGAGUUUAUGUUAAUUAGAUAAGCUGUGUGGAAUGUAUAUAUACCGCUCCUGUCCUACAAUAAACGGCUCCUACACCUGCUGUAUCGAUCUACACAAGUUGUUCGUCACCCCCCGGUUAUUUUGCUGCAGCCGGGCUGCGGCAAACUGGGUACGGUGGUGCAUGCCUGUGAUCCCAGCAGCUUGGAAGGCUGAGACAGGAGGAUCACAAGUUCAAAGCCAGCUCCACAACUUGAUAAGGCCCUCAUCAACUUAGUGAGACCUUGUCUCAAAACAAAAUGUAAUAAAGGGCUGGGAAUGUGGCUCAGUGAUUAAGUACUGUUGGGUUCAAUCACUACCCACCCCCCAAUAAGAUUUGAUUCUUGGUUCUAUAAUUGUUUUCCCAAAAUCAUAAAUAUAUAGUUUAUCAAGUGCAUUUUACUAAUCAAUUGAAAAAAAGCAUAUGACUCUAAUUUUUAAUUUAUAAAUAUUGUGAAUUAUAGCAAUGUAUUUUAUUAUAUUGAACCAUCCUUGCAGUCCAAGGAUUUUCUAUUUGAUUUUGAUGUAUUAUUAUUAGGUUUAAUGCCAUCAAACUCAGUUCACAAAUAAUUAUUUAUUUUUUCCCAUCUGUAUCCAAGGUUAGGUGGACCUAUUAUUUUCUUUCCCUGAAUAUUUCAUAUUUUGAUUUGGAGUCAAAACUACAUUAACCUGAUAAAAUUAGCUGGGAACCUUUUAAUCUAUUGCUUUCUAUUUUGUGAGAAAAGUGCUGUCAUUCUAGGAGGGCACAAACCUUCAGUCCAUAACAUGACCAUCAACAUCACACUCAGUCCAUAACAUAACAUGUGAGAAGGAAGAAGAUUGAGAUACCUUGCCAGCUCCAAGCAUGUGUGGGUGCUCCCAGGGACCUUCUGCAUUCAUCACCUCCUCUGCCUCCUCUUCUUGUAAGCCUUAAUUUUGGACGGCAGCUUAUCCACCAAGUCUUCGAGCUGGGGGAUAUUCUUGGGGGGACUUCCCAAGCUCACAAACAGAACAUCCAUGAUAGGACUCCACAAACCUAUUUGGCUUCUAUUGAUGAGAUUUGGUCCACAUGACCUUUGCUAAGGUUUUGGAGCCUCCACCUGCCCCUAUUCUGACUAUGGUAAUCGUGCUCUUGAUACUUGAAUGGUGGCCACACACUCCAGAUGUUGCUUGCCUGGCCUCUGGCCUCCUGUGCUGAGAGCCACGGCCAAGUCUGUAUGGCCCCUGGCAUUUUGCCAACAGUAUUGAUUGACAGGCAAGGCAUUACUAUCCGCCUCUGCCGCAACUUUUGAGUUCUCUCACUAUUUUGGAGUUCUCGUGGGGAUUUCCGGGGAUUCCCCGAGAGUUCCCAUUGGUUGGGGAAGUGCAGGAGGAGGGAUUUCCGGGGGAGAUAUUUC
rnacentral:lncRNA from 1 species